AACUGGUUAUUCUUUGCCUUGGGAUCAAAUUGGCUAUUGGGCAGUCAAAAUUGUGACAGGUGUACCUGACGCCAUUCCGGUAAUAGGAUCGCCUUUAGUGGAGUUAUUACGCGGAAGUGCUAGUGUGGGCCAAUCCACUUUGACUCGUUUUUAUAGUUUACAUACCUUUGUACUGCCUCUGCUUACUGCCGUAUUUAUGUUAAUGCACUUUCCAAUGAUACGUAAGCAAGGUAUUUCGGGUCCUUUAUAGGGAAGGCAUAUCAUAGAGAAUUAUAAUUAUCAUAUAUCAUAUCGGGUAGGUUUUGGUAUU
rnacentral:rRNA from 1 species